rnacentral:rRNA from 1 species
UACGGAGGGAGCUAGCGUUGUUCGGAAUUACUGGGCGUAAAGCGCGCGUAGGCGGCUUUGUAAGUUAGAGGUGAAAGCCCGGGGCUCAACCCCGAGCGGUCGUGGGAAACUGGUUGGCUAGAGUGCGGGAGAGGAGAGUGGAAUUCCUGGUGUAGCGGUGAAAUGCGCAGAUAUCAGGAAGAACACCCGUGGCGAAGGCGGCUCUCUGGAACGCAACUGACGCUGAGACGCGAAAGCGUGGGUAGCAAACAGG